UACGUAGGGCGCAAGCGUUAUCCGGAAUUAUUGGGCGUAAAGAGCUCGUAGGCGGUUUGUCGCGUCUGCCGUGAAAGUCCGGGGCUCAACUCCGGAUCUGCGGUGGGUACGGGCAGACUAGAGUGAUGUAGGGGAGACUGGAAUUCCUGGUGUAGCGGUGAAAUGCGCAGAUAUCAGGAGGAACACCGGUGGCGAAGGCGGCAUCCUGGACCAACACUGACGCUGAGGAGCGAAAGCCAGGGGAGCAAACGGG
rnacentral:rRNA from 1 species